rnacentral:rRNA from 1 species
GACGAACGCUGGCGGCGUGCUUAACACAUGCAAGUCGAACGGUGAAGCGCCUUCCUUUUUGGUGGGUGUGGAUGAGUGGCGAACGGGUGAGUAACACGUGAGUAACCUGCCCCCUUCUUCUGGAUAACCGCAUGAAAGUGUGGCUAAUACGGGAUAUUCUGGGUCUGUCGCAUGAUGGGUCUGGGAAAGAUAUUGUUUCGGUGGGGGAUGGGCUCGCGGCCUAUCAGCUUGUUGGUGGGGUGAUGGCCUACCAAGGCGGUGACGGGUAGCCGGCCUGAGAGGUUGGACGGCCACACUGGGACUGAGACACGGCCCAGACUCCUACGGGAGGCAGCAGUGGGGAAUAUUGCACAAUGGGCGCAAGCCUGAUGCAGCGACGCCGCGUGAGGGAUGGAGGCCUUCGGGUUGUGAACCUCUUUCGCCAGUGAAGCAGGCCUGCCUCGUUUGUGGGUGGGUUGACGGUAGCUGGAUAAGAAGCGCCGGCUAACUACGUG